rnacentral:snRNA from 1 species
UGCUUUUCUCGAUAUUUUGGCUAAGAUAAAGUGUAUUAUUUGUUCUUAUCAAUUUAAUAUUUGGUAUGAAGACCAAAUGUAAUUUGAUAUUAAAUUUACUGUUUUUGUACAACCCAAUCGUUUGUCGGCGAGUCGUUGUACUGUUAGUAGGGCUUAGUCCACUCCAACCAAUAUUGUCAAUGUCUA